rnacentral:rRNA from 1 species
AACGAACGCUGGCGGCAGGCUUAACACAUGCAAGUCGAACGGACGUAGCAAUACGUUAGUGGCAGACGGGUGAGUAACGCGUGGGAAUGUGCCCUUUAGUUCGGAAUAACACAGAGAAAUUUGUGCUAAUACCGGAUAAUCCCGAGAGGGGAAAGAUUUAUCGCUGAAGGAGCAGCCCGCGUCUGAUUAGCUAGUUGGUGAGGUAAUGGCUCACCAAGGCGACGAUCAGUAGCUGGUCUGAGAGGAUGAUCAGCCACACUGGGACUGAGACACGGCCCAGACUCCUACGGGAGGCAGCAGUGGGGAAUAUUGGACAAUGGGGGCAACCUGAUCCAGCCAUGCCGCGUGAGUGAUGAAGGCCUUAGGGUUGUAAAACUCUUUUGUCCGGGAAGAUAAUGACUGUACCGGAAGAAUAAGCCCCGGCUAACUUCGUG